AACGAACGCUGGCGGCAUGCCUAACACAUGCAAGUCGAACGAGACCUUCGGGUCUAGUGGCGCACGGGUGCGUAACGCGUGGGAACCUGCCUUUAGGUUCGGAAUAACUCAGAGAAAUUUGAGCUAAUACCGGAUGAUGUCUUCGGACCAAAGAUUUAUCGCCUUUAGAUGGGCCUGCGUUGGAUUAGCUAGUUGGUGGGGUAAAGGCCUACCAAGGCGACGAUCCAUAGCUGGUCUGAGAGGAUGAUCAGCCACACUGGGACUGAGACACGGCCCAGACUCCUACGGGAAGCAGCAGUGGGGAAUAUUGGACAAUGGGCGAAAGCCUGAUCCAGCAAUGCCGCGUGAGUGAUGAAGGCCUUAGGGUUGUAAAGCUCUUUUACCCGAGAUGAUAAUGACGGUAUCGGGAGAAUAAGCUCCGGCUAACUCCGUG
rnacentral:rRNA from 1 species